rnacentral:rRNA from 1 species
GAGGAAGGUGGGGAUGACGUCAAAUCAGCACGGCCCUUACGUCCGGGGCUACACACGUGUUACAAUGGGGGGUACAGAAGGCGGCUACCUGGUGACAGGAUGCUAAUCCCAAAAACCUCUCUCAGUUCGGAUCGAAGUCUGCAACCCGACUUCGUGAAGCUGGAUUCGCUAGUAAUCGCGCAUCAGCCAUGGCGCGGUGAAUACGUUCCCGGGCCUUGUACACACCGCCCGUCAAGCCAUGAAAGCCGGGGGUACCUGAAGUACGUAACCGCAAGGAGCGUCCUAGGGUAAAACUGGUAAUUGGGGCUAAGUCGUAACAAGG